rnacentral:lncRNA from 1 species
AUCAAUGGUACGUAGCCAGUGCUAGUUGCAGGCACAGCGGGCAGAGGGCAUCCUAAUCUGUGAGUCUCUACACACAUUUUGUGCCUUAAGGGUUCCUAAGCUUCAGAGCUGCUACAGGAUUAACCUUUGCGAAAUAUUAGCAACAGCAGGACACACGGCAAGAGAUGCCUUGGAGAAUUGGGUGCAGAACUAAUUGGGCAACGAAGGACAAAAAAUAUAACUAUGAAAAGCCCCAUUGCAGUUGAAGUUGAACAUAUGGCAGGACCUUAAGGAUCUCUGCCUCAACCUUAGGACUUGAGUAUUUCCUCGGCAAAAUACG